GCAGUCGGCGCCCGAAGGGGAGCUUCGAUCGUCUCGGGGGUUGGCCGCCUCCGCCGCCGCGUCCUCCCUGUCCCCCUCACCCGCGUAAACGAGGCAGGCACAGCACACGGGGAGACUUAACCUCGUGUUCGACGCGCGCGCUCUCUCCCUCUCUCUCUCUCUCUCUCUCUCUCUCUCUCUCUCUCUCUCUCUCGUGUGCACAUAGCGAGAGAGAUCUCAUCUUGGCGAGUCGAAGCUCCGGACGGCGGCAGCGGAUGACGACGAGCAAGUGUAGCCGGGACGGCGAGGACGAGGACGAGGAGCUCGUCGAUCGGAAGAGCCAGUGGUGAAAAUGAGCUUCGGCCUGCAGCGCAACUGCCGUCGCGGCUUCGCUGCUGCUGCCGUCGAGUGGCCCGAGGGCCGUCCAGUGCUCUGACACGCUGUUCCGCUCUUCUUCGUCAUCUUCUUCUUCUGCCUUGCACACGCACUUCACUCUCAUCAUCCUCUCUGGGCACUUCUCUUUGGGAUAAGCGACGGCGAUGCUCGCUGCGCUUCGAGGGAUUCCUCGCUCACUGCCACCGAGAGGACGUCGCAGGUGCUUUUUGGAUAAAUAUGUUGCCUAUAACGUUGUUGUUGUUACCGCGCUGCUGUUGACUCUGUUAUAUUGACGUACACGCGCGACUUUGAGAGAUCGAGUGCUCGGCGUUCUCCGAAACAUGUUACGCGCACACGAGAGAGAGAGAGAGGUUAUUGUUGUUGUUUGUACAAGAUUUAGUGAAGACAAUAUUGAAGUUGACGAUCACGCGUCGCAGCUGCAGGAAGCAAUAAAACACCCAGUGCCACGAGUACGGAAGAGUGUAUUCACUCGUGGGGCAUCGAACGAACGUACAAAUACUUAAGCGCCAAUAAAAAAAAAAAAAAAAAAAAAAAAAAAAACAGAUUGUAGGACAGCGGAGAAGGGCUCGUCGCGACGCAAAAACGGAAGAGUCGAAGAGAGCCUGCACACGUAUACAAAAAUAAGCGUAUCACAUCGAGAGGGAGACGAAGCAUGGAGAAGCGACAACGCGGCCAAAAAGAAUCUUCGACGAAGCGUGCCAAGGCUGGUUAUUAACGCCCGACUAAACGUCCUCGUUGUUUCGCCCUGACCCGCGACGAAUGCGGAGCUCAUUCCUCCGGUCCGCUGGAGGGACGACUCCAGCCAAGCAGUCACCAUAGGGACGAAAACCGCGAGCGGCAGGAGGAGGAAAAGCCUCCCGGCGCUGAGACAAUGCCAGCUAGACCUCGACUACUUGGAACGACGUGGAGGUGACGGCUACGAGCCGGAAGUCACGAGCGGUGGAUCCGCCAGCAAGGAGGAGGACAGUCCAGCCGACAGCCUCGAGCGCGUUAAGGUCGUCUUCCUCGGUGCUCCCGGCGUCGGCAAAUCCAGCAUCAUUCGGCAAUUCGUCUGGAGCGAGUUCUCGGAGGAGUACAGGCCGACGGAUCGCCGGGAGACUUACUACCCGAGCGUCGUCCUCGCGGAGCGGCUCUACGAGCUCAAGAUCACGGAUCUACCGACGAUACCCUACUUCCCGGUCAGCUCGCACCUGGAAUGGACCGAUUUCCGGUACUACGGGCUGCGCAGCGCGACCGCCUACGUGCUCGUCUUCGACCUCAGCAAUCAGGACACCUUUCAGUACAUAAGGACGCUACGCGAGCAGAUCUACGAGGCCCGGGACAUGCGGAGCGUCCCUUUGCUCGUCGUCGGCAAUAAACAGGACAAGCUUCCCUCGACGGUGGCCUCGAGCUCCAGGCACCGGGACAUCGUCAACCUCGUGCGCAAACACUGGAGAUGCGGCUACGUCGAGUGCAGCGCCAGAUUCAAUUGCCGCGUCGUGCAGGUGUUCCGGGAGCUGAUGAAGAGCAUCCAGGCAGUGGAGGGUAAGCCGUCCUCACCGACGCCGACGAGCUCGUUGCAGCCCUUGAUGCGCGGGGCGAGCAGCGCUGGACAAACGCCGGAAAGCGGCUCGGCGGCCGCCGGUGCCGCGGGGGCCAGCGGACAGGCCGGCAACUCCGAGAAAUGUAUUCUUCUCUGACAUUAGGCGAAGAGGUAGCCGCUUCUUUCCCCCCAACAGGAUCCUCGCCUAUAUUUCCAUCUAGUUAGCGCUGCAUCUAUCAUAGGUACUGUAGAUCUGUAUACGCCAGAGAGUAGAAGCCGCGCGAGGAAGUAGAGCUUUUCCUUUUGAAUUUUUCGUUUGUGCCAGCGAGAGACGACGUUAAUUGCUGUUAGUGUGCAUCAGGUCUGCGUGCGGUGAUGAUGGGAAUUUGUAUAUGCUUAUUAUUCGUUACGCGCGUAGUUUGAAUUUUGAGUGACGGAGAUUGAUGUUUACCGGGGAAAGAGUGAUCCGAUAUUAUUAUAUUAUAACUACGAUUAAACGUAUAAUAUACACGGCCUAACGUAGCAAUGUGCCAUGCGAGUGUGGCAGACGGCGGCUCAAGCAAUAUUAUUAUUAUUAUUGAGUGACGACGUGUUGUAUAUUUUAAUAUUGUAAUAAGAUAAACGUUAGAAAAGUCUUUUGCGCCAUAAAAAAAAAAAAUAAUGAGUCUAUGUCUUAUGGAUGAUACUUAUGCGAAAAAGGUUGAUGAUUAUGAUUACGAAAAUAAACGACGCACCGAAUAAUAUACACACGUUUCUAGUAAUAAGUACAUUAUGAUAAAGCAUAUACGGCAGAAAGCAAAAGUGGAAAAAGGAUAAAACUAGCCGUUAUAUAAACGCAAGCGUCCGAGACCGAGACGCGCGAUGUGUGUUGCAGUAUAUUGUUUGUAAAAUGUAUAAAACAAAAAAAAAAUGACGACGACACUGUAAUUAUAUAUGAUAUUAUAUAAUAACGA